CAGUCCUUGACAAGAAUCCCAUUAUCUCAAUUUACCACCCGUACGUGACACCGGGGAUCUUCAGGUUUCAUUGCUUUGUGAAAGUGUUGAUGAAUCUCGUGAUUAAGCCUUACCAGGAAUAAACCUUGCCUUGAACUUGUCCAACUUUCCCAUUCGAGACGACAACGACGACAAAAACCAUUGAGGUUUGGGUACGAACCCACCGUGUCACGAUUUUGGUUGUGGGUGGGUGGUUGUCCGUUGGUAGGCUGAUGAGAGACAUUCCAGCAAAUGUUUGCCAGGAACCUACCCAGGCAAACAACAAUCAUCCACAAAAGGAUUUUUCGAGGUUCUCAACCAUCACCACUACCACCAUCACCACAUGCUUACUUCGUGUCGAGACAUGUCCGUCAAGACGACAAAAAUAUGGUCUAAUGGGUUCCUGACUUGGAGACUUUCGAGACAAAGUGCAUACUUACGCCUCAAAAACUGUGGCCCUGUCAAGUCAGUGGCAACCCGUGGAAGUACCAACUUGACUUGACGGGUAUUAAGGAACAGACCCUUGGACUGCUUGACAUCAGAGUGUAAAAAAUGUGCUUCAAAAAGGUGUGAAGAAGGCAAUUUGAAGGACAAAACCGAACGAGCGUCCGUUGGAUGGAGUCAAACCUCAAAUAACGUUCCAACUUCUGGAGAGAGUGGUGGAAAGUCAGGGGCAAUGUCGUGGAAGAGAAUGCCCCAUAAAACAAGAGCCCGGUGGCAAUAUUGUUAAAAGGAUAAGUCAUGGAAGAAUUCUCGGUGCAGGAAUAUAAACGAGGGGAAUGGAGAAGGGAGCAAACGGUAUAAAUGGUCCCGAGCCACUCUGGAAAGUACUCCCCAAACUCAAAAGCCACAAAAGCCACAGAAGCCCGGCCAGAAAGUCUCCAAACAUUGGGAAAAUAUUCUCCGGUCCAGAGUUAUGGAGCCUUAAAAUUUUCCUUCAUCUUCCCAUCUUCUCCAUCCAUGGAUCCAUGGAGAGACCGCGAUUGUAGUAAAUCUGCCAAUCAAAACUCAUGGCUUGAUGGGCAAAGAAGGGAAGCUUCUUGGACACUGGAGAGUACGGCUUUCAAAGGAAAGAGGACGUCAUCCUCUCUCGAUAUUGGAUCAGGUGAUAAUGGAGUCGUAAAAUCAAGGAUCUUCUCCUCCCUCAGGGCUAAUUGGCAAUCUCAUCCAUUGGCAAGUGGACCUCUUCGAUCGAUGCGGAGGUCCAGAGAUUUCCUUGAACACCCCAGAUUGAUUGACAGCGGAAAUCUACCGAAACCCUGGUCAGAAAAGGACCAUUCGAACAGUUGUUGAAUGGAAAGGAGACUACUAAGUGAUAUACAACGGACGGUAAAUCGACGGUCGAUUCCAAGAGAAAUGGACACAAUUUACCUUUUACGUCGAAUCGACUCUAAGUUCUCGGGAUGGGGGAGACAUGGGUAGGCAAAGGGUCAUAAAAUUUAUAGAGCCU